AGAAUCAACGCUGGCGGCGUGCCUAACACAUGCAAGUCGAACGAGAAAGUGGAGCAAUCCAUGAGUAAAGUGGCGCACGGGUGAGUAACACGUGACUAACCUACCCUUGAGUGGGGGAUAACCUAGAGAAAUCUGGGCUAAUACCGCAUAAUACCUUCGGGUCAAAGGAGCAAUUCGCUUAAGGAGGGGGUCGCGGCCGAUUAGUUAGUUGGCGGGGUAAUGGCCCACCAAGACUAUGAUCGGUAUCCGGCCUGAGAGGGCGCACGGACACACUGGAACUGAAACACGGUCCAGACUCCUACGGGAGGCAGCAGUGGGGAAUUUUGCGCAAUGGGGGAAACCCUGACGCAGCAACGCCGCGUGGAGGAUGAAGUCCCUUGGGACGUAAACUCCUUUCGAUCGGGACGAUAAUGACGGUACCGAGAGAAGAGCCCCGGCUAACUUCGUGCCAGCAGCCGC
rnacentral:rRNA from 1 species